ensembl:lncRNA
CAGCCUUGGGGGCAUGACAUGGAUUGUCACUGAACUGAUGCUCAGAUGAGAUACAGGGAUUUGUAUCUGUCUCUAGUCUUUCAUUAUACAUAACCAUUUCCUCAGACUCAGGUCCGUACAGUGACCUGGUGUGUUUGCAUUGUCCAGUGCUGCUCACAUCCCCCUCCAGGCUGUUCCCCUCCACAUAGGUACCAUCCUGACCUUCUACAUAGGAGUCAUCCUUGGGACAAUAAGUACCAUCCUCACAUUCCACGUAGGUUCUGUCUUGGUGUUCCGCGUAGGUUCUGUCUUGGUGUUCCGCGUAGGUUCUGUCUUGGUGUUCUGCGUAGGUUCUGUCUUGGUGUUCCACAUAGAUGCCAUCCUCACUAUCUACAUAACUUCCAUCCUGAGGCUCAGGAUAGUGUUUGUAGUACCUCACCUGCAUACUCUGGUCUUCCACCUGUAGUACCUGAUCAAUGUCUUGCUCCACACCCUCCACGUCCGAACCCACGUUGUCAUACUCUGAGCAGCUGUCCUCCUCCUCCUCUUCCUCCUCAUCCAUGCUGUCAGGGAUGAUGGUGUCACCGGGCUGGUUCAGCGGGGGCUCAGAGGAGACACUCGCUGUAGCAGGGACAGGAAGAGGUGAACCGGAGGGACUAAUCAGAUACGG